rnacentral:tRNA from 1 species
UCCCGGAUCGUCCAACCGGCAGGACGCCUGACUCUGGAUCAGGAGAUCGAGGUUCGAAUCCUUGUCCGGGAG